rnacentral:rRNA from 1 species
AUUGAACGCUGGCGGCAGGCCUAACACAUGCAAGUCGAACGAGUGGCGGACGGGUGAGUAAUGUCUGGGGAACUGCCUGAUGGAGGGGGAUAACUACUGGAAACGGUAGCUAAUACCGCAUACCAUCAGAUGUGCCCAGAUGGGAUUAGCUUGUAGGUGAGGUAACGGCUUACCUAGGCGACGAUCCCUAGCUGGUCUGAGAGGAUGACCAGCCACACUGGAACUGAGACACGGUCCAGACGCCUACGGGAGGCAGCAGUGGGGAAUAUUGCACAAUGGGCGCAAGCCUGAUGCAGCCAUGCCGCGUGUAUGAAGAAGGCCUUCGGGUUGUAAAGUACUUUCAGCGGGGAGGCGUUACCCGCAGAAGAAGCACCGGCUAACUCCGUGCCAGCAGCCGCGGUAAUUC